rnacentral:rRNA from 1 species
UGGGGAAUAUUGCACAAUGGGCGAAAGCCUGAUGCAGCAACGCCGCGUGAGUGAUGAAGGUCUUCGGAUUGUAAAGCUCUGUCUUUUGGGACGAUAAUGACGGUACCAAAGGAGGAAGCCACGGCUAACUACGUGCCAGCAGCCGCGGUAAUACGUAGGUGGCGAGCGUUGUCCGGAUUUACUGGGCGUAAAGGGUGCGUAGGCGGAUGUUUAAGUGAGAUGUGAAAUACCCGGGCUUAACUUGGGUGCUGCAUUUCAAACUGGAUAUCUAGAGUGCAGGAGAGGAGAAUGGAAUUCCUAGUGUAGCGGUGAAAUGCGUAGAGAUUAGGAAGAACACCAGUGGCGAAGGCGAUUCUCUGGACUGUAACUGACGCUGAGGCACGAAAGCGUGGGUAGCAAACAGGAUUAGAUACCCUGGUAGUCCACGCCGUAAAACGAUGAGUACUAGGUGUAGGAGGUAUCGACCCCUUCUGUGCCGCAGUAAAACACAUUAAGUACUCCGCCUGGGAAGUACGAU